rnacentral:snRNA from 1 species
GUGCUCGCUUUGGCAGCACAUAUAGCAAAAUUGGAAUGGUACAGAGAAGAUUAGCAUGGCCCUGUGCAAGGAUGACUUGCAAAUUUGGGAAGCGUUCCAUUUAAAA